CUGUGGGGACACAGAAGGCAGGACCUCGUGACCAUGUCCACCAUGGCCUGGUCCCCUCUGCUCCUCACCCUGGUCGCUCACUGCACAGGAUCCUGGGCCCAGGCUGUGCUGACUCAGCCGCGCUCCAUGUCUGGGGCCCUGGGCCAGAGGGUCACCAUCUCUUGCGCUGGAAGCAGCAGCAGCAUCGGGAGUAAUUAUGUGAGCUGGUACCAACAGGUCCCAGGAGCGGCCCCCAGACUCCUGAUCUAUGACAAUAGCAAGCGACCCUCGGGGGUCCUGGAUCGCUUCUCUGGCUCCAAGUCUGGCAACUCGGGCUCCCUGACCAUCACUGGGCUCCAGGCUGGGGACGAGGCUGAUUAUUACUGCCAGUCUUAUGAUGACAGCCUGGAUGGUCACACAGUGUGCAAGCCAGGGGGGAAUGCCCAUACCUGCCGUUCAGGCAAAGACAGACGGACAGUCACACAACAAAAUAAACUUGCUUCAAUAAACUUGACCUCCAGUGAUACCUGGACAGAGGCUAAGAGACCCCUCGGGGGGGAACUGUCUCCGUGA